rnacentral:rRNA from 1 species
UAGGCGUACGGGUGGGUAACACGUGGAUAAUCUACCUCUUAGUGGGGAAUAACUCUGGGAAACCGGAGCUAAUACCGCAUAAGCCUGGAAAGGGAAAGCAGCAAUGCGCUGAGAGAGGAGUCCGCGGCCGAUUAGCUAGUUGGCAGGGUAACAGCCUACCAAGGCAUUGAUCGGUAGCCGGCCUGAGAGGGCACACGGCCACACUGGCACUGAAACACGGGCCAG